ACGGACUUAAAAUCCGUCGACUUUUAAAAUCGUGAGGGUUC
rnacentral:tRNA from 1 species